UUGGAGCAAGGUGAGAGUUGGUCUCCUCUCCCAAGUAAGAAGAGAGAGGAGAUGAGUAAAAGACCUCAAGUUAUGCCAAGGGAGGGUCAGGUUGGAUAUUAGAAGAAACCUCUUCAUUGAAAGCAGUCUCAAGCACUGGAACAAGCUACUCAGGUACCAGAGAUCUGAUGAUGAGAUGGAGAACUGGAGAUUUUUGACCAGGCUACUAAUCAAAAUCUCAGCACCAAGGUCUGCCCUGCCUAACCAAAAGAAGGACACCUGCUUAUUGACUCCAGUGGUGCCUCGGCUUGAUCAUAGCAACGUUCUUAAAUGGGUUACAAGUUAAGGAGACUGAGCUUUGUUGGAACACACAGUGAGAACUUUACCAAAACCUUACCUGCAAUACCCAGUAGUACAACAGUGUUUGUUCAUACCUGUUGCUUGGACAGGACUCUGAGCUUGCCAGAGCUUCCAGGGCAAGUUGUUUACUGGCUUUCAAGGUGUCAGAAGAAUGUCUCAUACAGACAGCUGUAACUGAGUGAAGCUGAUACUGUGUCAUCUGCCAUUUGUGUGUCAAUUUGUGAACCUCAUGAUCACACAGAGAAGCUGUGGGCUGAUGGUUGUUCUUGAGGGCUAUCUGCCGGCU